rnacentral:rRNA from 1 species
CCUACGGGUGGCAGCAGUGGGGAAUAUUGCACAAUGGGGGGAACCCUGAUGCAGCAACGCCGCGUGGGUGAAGAAGGACUCCGGGAGGUAAAGCCCUGUCAGCAGGGAAGAAAAUGACGGUACCUGACCAAGAAGCCCCGGCUAACUACGUGCCAGCAGCCGCGGUAAUACGGAGGGGGCAAGCGUUCUCCGGAUUUACUGGGUGUAAAGGGAGCGUAGCCGGCAAGGCAAGUCUGGAGUGAAAGCCCGUGGCCCAACCACGGGACUGCUUUGGAAACGGUGUUGCUGGAGUGCAGGAGGGGUAAGCGGACUUCCUAGUGUAGCGGUGACAUGCGUAGAUAUUAGGAGGAACCCCGGUGGCGAAGGCGGCUUACUGGACUGUACCUGACGUUGCGGCUCGAAUGCGUGGGGAGCAAACAGGAUUAGAUACCCCGGUAGUC